CCUCUUUAUUCAAACGUCUCGACCACGAGGUAUCCAUCUCUGCAAUGUAAAUAUCAUAUCAUAUAACCUUUAUUAAAAGUCUUAAGUAUUGUUUGCCACCUCUGAACGCCAACAAAUAGUAGCCCCAGAAAAGGGGGGAUAAAAGGGUAGCUUUUAUGAAGCGUGAUUUUCAAUUCUACGGGUCUAUAUAGCAGCCUACAUACGGACCACCCUCACGGUACUCACCGUCACUACGUGAAGUGCCGUACCAAGCAAUGGAUAAAAUGAAAACCUUUGGGCGACGAUGGGUUAUAAAAUAUCUCUUAGUGCUGGCUCCAAAUACAUUUUUUACAUGAUUA